rnacentral:rRNA from 1 species
GUGAUUCGUCACACUAUCAUUAACUGAAUCCAUAGGUUAAUGAGGCGAACCGGGGGAACUGAAACAUCUAAGUACCCCGAGGAAAAGAAAUCAACCGAGAUUCCCCCAGUAGCGGCGAGCGAACGGGGAGGAGCCCAGAGCCUGAAUCAGCAUGUGUGUUAGUGGAAGCGUCUGGAAAGGCGCGCGAUACAGGGUGACAGCCCCGUACACAAAAGCGCAUGUGCUGUGAGCUCGAUGAGUAGGGCGGGACACGUGGUAUCCUGUCUGAAUAUGGGGGGACCAUCCUCCAAGGCUAAAUACUCCUGACUGACCGAUAGUGAACCAGUACCGUGAGGGAAAGGCGAAAAGAACCCCGGCGAGGGGAGUGAAAAAGAACCUGAAACCGUGUACGUACAAGCAGUGGGAGCACCCUUUGGGUGUGACUGCGUACCUUUUGUAUAAUGGGUCAGCGACUUAUAUUCUGUAGCAAGGUUAACCGAAUAGGGGAGCCGGAGGGAAACCGAGUCUUAAU